rnacentral:rRNA from 1 species
GACGAACGCUGGCGGCGUGCUUAACACAUGCAAGUCGAACGGAAAGGCCCUGCUUGCAGGGUACUCGAGUGGCGAACGGGUGAGUAACACGUGGGUGAUCUGCCCUGCACUUCGGGAUAAGCCUGGGAAACUGGGUCUAAUACCGGAUAGGAGCCAUUUUUAGUGUGUUGGUUGGAAAGUUUUUUCGGUGUAGGAUGAGCUCGCGGCCUAUCAGCUUGUUGGUGGGGUAAUGGCCUACCAAGGCGGCGACGGGUAGCCGGCCUGUGAGGGUGGACGGCGACAUUGAGACUGAGAGGAGGCCCAGACGCCGACGGGAGGAAGCAGGGGGGAAGAUUGCACAAUGGGCGCAAGCCUGAUGCAGCGACGCCGCGUGGGGGAUGACGGCCUUCGGGUUGUAAACUCCUUUCGCUAGGGACGAAGCUUUUUGUGACGGUACCUAGAGAAGAAGCACCGGCUAACUACGUG